rnacentral:rRNA from 1 species
UACGUAGGGGGCUAGCGUUGUCCGGAAUCAUUGGGCGUAAAGAGCGUGUAGGCGGUCCGGUAAGUCCGCUGUGAAAGUCGGGGGCUCAACCCUCGAAUGCCGGUGGAUACUGUCGGGCUAGAGUGCGGAAGAGGCGAGUGGAAUUCCUGGUGUAGCGGUGAAAUGCGCAGAGAUGUGGAGGAACACCGAUGGCGAAGGCAGCCCCCUGGGUUAACACUGACGCUCAGGCACGAAAGGCGUGGGGAGCAAACAGG